GUGCAGAAGAGGACAGUGGAACUCCAUGUGUAGCGGUGGAAUGCGUAGAUAUAUGGAAGAACACCAGUGGCGAAGGCGGCUGUGUAGUCUGUAACUGACGCUGAGGCUGGAAAGCAUGGGUAGCGAACAGGAUUAGAUACCCUGGUAGUCCAUGCCGUAAACGAUGAGUGCUAAGUGUUGGAGGGUUUCCCCCUUCAGUGCUGCAGCUAACGCAUUAAGCACUCCGCCUGGGGAGUACGACCGCAAGGUUGAAACUCAAAGGAAUUGACGGGGGCCCGCACAAGCGGUGGAGCAUGUGGUUUAAUUCGAAGCUACGCGAAGAACCUUACCAGGUCUUGACAUCUUCUGCCAAUCUUAGAGAUAAGACGUUCCCUUCGGGGACAGAAUGACAGGUGGUGCAUGGUUGUCGUCAGCUCGUGUCGUGAGAUGUUGGGUUAAGUCCCGCAACGAGCGCAACCCUUAUUAUCAGUUGCCAGCAUUCAGUUGGGCACUCUGGUGAGACUGCCGGUGACAAACCGGAGGAAGGUGGGGAUGACGUCAAAUCAUCAUGCCCCUUAUGACCUGGGCUACACACGUGCUACAAUGGACGGUACAACGAGUCGCGAAGUCGUGAGGCUAAGCUAAUCUCUUAAAGCCGUUCUCAGUUCGGAUUGUAGGCUGCAACUCGCCUACAUGAAGUUGGAAUCGCUAGUAAUCGCGGAUCAGCAUGCCGCGGUGAAUACGUUCCCGGGCCUUGUACACACCGCCCGUCACACCAUGAGAGUUUGUAACACCCAAAGCCGGUGAGAUAACCUUCGGGAGUCAGCCGUCUAAGGUGGGACAGAGGAUUAGGGUGAAGUCGUAACAAUGUAACCA
rnacentral:rRNA from 1 species